ensembl:lncRNA
CUUGUCAAAGAAAUGAAACGCCUGGGAAAGGUCUCAAGCAACAAAGCUAGCUCUUGCUGCUGGUAGGAAGCACGCCAUCCAGCAGAGCUGGGGUUGGCCACUGGCCAGCUAGAUUUGGUCGUUUGUCAGCUGCAACAUUUCUAUCAAGGAGCAAGAGGUUAGAAAAAGCCUCUCGUGAGAAAGAAGUGACAAGUUUGAAGACAUAAGUGUGUGGCAGAAAGUGAGAAAGAACUGGAAUUUCCCAGCUCUUUGGCAGAAAAAGGUGCAGAUGAGACAUGCAAGAGCCACUUUAUCCUACCUGGAACACUGGAGCUGAUUACCAAAGGCUUUUCUAAUGUGUCCCUGGAGAGCCACAGAGCAAUACAGACAAUUCCAGCGUCUCACUUGUACCUCGGGAAGCAAAGAAGAGCUACAUUUAAGAUGGAAAAGAUAUUAAAACCCAGAAAGCUCUUCCACUGACCGGGGGCACCACAGGAAUUCCUUUUGCUUUGAACAGACGCAGCGCCCUUCCUCCUCCUCACUGCUGUUUCCCACUGAGCGUCUGCUGGGAUGAGCUGGUUGGUGGCCAUGGCUUAGAAGAUUAUAUCCACUAAGUUUAUUUAGCCAGGAAUACUGAUCCCAGAAGGACACGGAUGCCCAAACAAGGAAGAGCUCCCGCUGUGACGCCCGUACUUUGCUGUAAGUGGAGGUGCUUUGCCAUGAAAGUGUUCUCCAUUUGCCACCACUGCUCUUGUGUAAGAGGUGAAAAAGCCCCUGCUGCUCUGAGACUGCAGCUGGGCAGGGGAGGAACGAUGCUGCGAAAGAAAACUCGUGAGCGAUGAUAAAAUGGAGAAACUCACCUUGAACUGCAUUGCUAGGGUGUGUCUCUUGGAAUACAGCCACACUGGAAAGGAACCUGAAAGCUCCGAUGUUUUGCCUA